rnacentral:tRNA from 1 species
GGGAGUGUGGCUUAGUGGUUACAGAGUACAUGCUUAGCAUGCAUGAAGCCCUAGGUUCGAUUCCUGAGUACCA